rnacentral:piRNA from 1 species
UGGCAGCAAAAUACAAUGUCAUAUGACCAA